AUUGAACGCUGGCGGCAGGCCUAACACAUGCAAGUCGAGCGGAUGAGAGGAGCUUGCUCCUCGAUUCAGCGGCGGACGGGUGAGUAAUGCCUAGGAAUCUGCCUAGUAGUGGGGGACAACGUUUCGAAAGGAACGCUAAUACCGCAUACGUCCUACGGGAGAAAGUGGGGGAUCUUCGGGCCUCACGCUAUUAGAUGAGCCUAGGUCGGAUUAGCUAGUUGGUAGGGUAACGGCCUACCAAGGCGACGAUCCGUAACUGGUCUGAGAGGAUGAUCAGUCACACUGGAACUGAGACACGGUCCAGACUCCUACGGGAGUCAGCAGUGGGGAAUAUUGGACAAUGGGCGAAAGCCUGAUCCAGCCAUGCCGCGUGUGUGAAGAAGGCCCUCGGGUCGUAAAGCACUUUAAGUUGGGAGGAAGGGCUUACAGCGAAUACCUGUGAGUUUUGACGUUACCGACAGAAUAAGCACCGGCUAACUUCGUGCCAGCAGCCGCCGUAA
rnacentral:rRNA from 1 species